CCUAGUUUCCAUACCCAACGUUUGACCGCCCGUCUUAUUCUAAAAAAUAUGAAAAAAAAUUAAAAAGACAAGUCACGUAUAAAAAUAUUAAUCAUAAUCAUAUUUUAUCAUCUAACAACAAUAAAAAUACGAAUUAUAAAAAAAUUUCAUAUAAGACGGACAGUCAAAGUUGGACACGAAAACCCAUGGUUUGUCUUUUU
rfam:Oryza rufipogon genomic scaffold, chr08